rnacentral:rRNA from 1 species
UACGUAGGGUGCGAGCGUUGUCCGGAAUUAUUGGGCGUAAAGGGCUCGUAGGCGGUUUGUCACGUCAGGAGUGAAAACUCGGGGGCUCAACCCCGAGCCUGCUUCUGAUACGGGCAGACUGGAGGUAUGCAGGGGAGAACGGAAUUCCUGGUGUAGCGGUGAAAUGCGCAGAUAUCAGGAGGAACACCGGUGGCGAAGGCGGUUCUCUGGGCAUUACCUGACGCUGAGGAGCGAAAGUGUGGGGAGCGAACAGG